UGCAGUCGAACGAGAAUCUGCUGAAGGAGGAUUCGUCCAACGGAAGCAGAGGAAAGUGGCGGACGGGUGAGUAACGCGUGAGGAACCUGCCUUGAAGAGGGGGACAACAGUUGGAAACGACUGCUAAUACCGCAUGACGCAUAGAGGUCGCAUGAUCUUUAUGCCAAAGAUUUAUCGCUUCAAGAUGGCCUCGCGUCUGAUUAGCUGGUUGGCGGGGUAACGGCCCACCAAGGCGACGAUCAGUAGCCGGACUGAGAGGUUGAACGGCCACAUUGGGACUGAGAUACGGCCCAGACUCCUACGGGAGGCAGCAGUGGGGAAUAUUGGGCAAUGGGCGCAAGCCUGACCCAGCAACGCCGCGUGAAGGAAGAAGGCUUUCGGGUUGUAAACUUCUUUUAAGAGGGAAGAGCAGAAGACGGUACCUCUAGAAUAAGCCACGGCUAACUACGUGCCAGCAGCCGCGGUAAUACGUAGGUGGCAAGCGUUGUCCGGAUUUACUGGGUGUAAAGGGCGUGCAGCCGGGUCUGCAAGUCAGAUGUGAAAUCCAUGGGCUCAACCCAUGAACUGCAUUUGAAACUGUGGAUCUUGAGUGUCGGA
rnacentral:rRNA from 1 species